CCUACGGGAGGCAGCAGUAGGGAAUAUUGGUCAAUGGGUGAGAGCCUGAACCAGCCAUGCCGCGUGCAGGAAGAAGGCCUUCUGGGUUGUAAACUGCUUUUGCCGGGGGAUAAAAUGUCCAUGCGUGGACAAUUGAAGGUACCCGGUGAAUAAGCCACGGCUAACUACGUGCCAGCAGCCGCGGUAAUACGUAGGUGGCAAGCGUUGUCCGGAUUUAUUGGGUUUAAAGGGUGCGUAGGCGGCCUAUUAAGUCAGUUCUGAAAUAUCCCGGCUUAACCGGGAGGGUGGGAUUGAUACUGAUGGGCUUGAGUGGAAUCGAGGUAGGCGGAAUUGACGGUGUAGCGGUGAAAUGCUUAGAUAUCGUCAAGAACACCGAUAGUGUAGACAGCUUACUAGACUUCAACUGACGCUGAGGCACGC
rnacentral:rRNA from 1 species